UUAGCUCAUAUUUGUAUGGAAUGGGAUCGUUUGCGUAUGUUUGCCGCUAGGGGCGCUGUUCCAACUGCAUACAAAAUUGGGUUA
rnacentral:pre_miRNA from 1 species